UACGGGGGGGGCAAGCGUUGUUCGGAAUUACUGGGCGUAAAGGGCGCGUAGGCGGCCUUCUAAGUCGGACGUGAAAUCCCUCGGCUUAACCGAGGAACUGCGUCCGAGACUGAAAGGCUUGAAUCCGGGAGAGGGAUGUGGAAUUCCAGGUGUAGCGGUGAAAUGCGUAGAUAUCUGGAGGAACACCGGUGGCGAAGGCGGCAUCCUGGACCGGCAUUGACACUGAGGCACGAAAGCGUGGGGAGCAAACAGG
rnacentral:rRNA from 1 species